rfam:Picea glauca, whole genome shotgun sequence.
AUAACGGUGUCUCUAGACACCACCUUUGUUUAAAAAAAAAAAUCC